ensembl:lncRNA zinc finger protein 318-like
AGGAGGCAGACAACCAAACAGCCUGAAGAAGAAGAGACACAUUUCGUUGAACUGUUAGCUGAAAGCUCUGCACUUUGUUGUCCGUGAGCCUUUUUUAGAAAAUGCCGAGCAGAGUUUGAGUAUUUUCCGUUGGUAAUAUUCGCCCUCGGUGGGUCGGACCUCCCCUUACGGAAAGCAGAGCCGUCAAACGGAAACGCUAUUUUAAAGGAGGAGAUGUACACAAACAGGUCUGAGUACAGCCAGCGAUGGCAGCCCAGUGACAGAAGUUCACGGUAUGAAUAUGACGACAGAAGACACAGGGAAGAACAUGGCGAGAGGAGGGAAGAAAGGCGUGAGCCUCACAGGGACCGACAGUGGGAUUCCCACGUUAAGUACAGCAUGGAUGGACGAAGAAGUCCGGAGAGGACGAGCAGAAGCAGAGAGUACAGUGACUCGCCUAAGAGGCUGUACAGUAAGGAGCCUUCGAACAGAGACUGGAGAAGAAAGAGCCCGGUGAGGAGGCGCAUGUCUUCACCUAGCUGGGAUGAAAAGAAACGGCCGAGGUUCGCAGAGGAGGACGAACGUGACUACAGAUACAGGAGUGAGCCUCAGGGGAAAACAUACAGACAGCUGUCAGACGGUUCUUCACGUGCACACGAACCCAAGGAUUACAGAAACACAUCACCAAGAGAAGAAGAGUACAACUACAGGAAAACACCUCAGGAGACGCGACACAGGCAUCAACAUGAAGAGUUUACAUACAGGCGCUAUGACGACGGUGACGAUGAUGAUGAUGAUGUAGCGUACCGACAGCAGUCUGGGUGCUACGGAGACGGAGACGGUGGUGAAAGGAGCCAGGAGAGAGCACGGUCGCCGGAUCACACUACAACAAGUUAUAGCACAUCCAGAAGGAGGACUGACAGCCCGUCUACCUCCUCCAUGUAUGAGGACGCUCAUCACAACAGGACUCUGCUGAAUGGAUCGAGUGGACAGUCUUUUGAAAGUGACAUCACCGCCCAGAGUGUCAGUGUGUCUGAGGACAAGUUUUCCAAGGGCUUCCAGCGUUUCCUCGAUGUGCUCAACAAAGGCGUGAACGUCGACUUUUUGACCAAGAUAGUGACUCAGAGCUCUGCAGGAGUCAACAGUCGGCCCCGAUCCCCCGGGCCUCACCCGAACCCUGCAGAGCGUCCGUGGCCUGAGAGGCAACAGGGAAGCCACCACGAGAACCACUGCUGGGGCAAGAGUGAGGGAUCCCAAAGGCCCGUGUCUCCACAGCCUCGUCACAGGUCGCUCAGUCCGCAGCAGGUCUGUCUGUCUGAAGGAAGGCCUCUGCAGAGAAGCAAUGACAGGCAGAGCCUGUUUGACAGCAGGUCUCCACCGUUGGCGGUGGAAACGAUGACGCUGACAGCAGAGGAUGAGCACAAGUGCAGGCAGAUGCAGGACGUCUUACAGGCCAUUGGACUGGACUUAGGAUUUGAAGAGCUCGGGCAAAUGUCACAUCGAAUCCAGGAGCGGCUGUACGGGAAGAGGGACGGCGACUGGGGGCACAAAACGAGUCAGGAAAGUGGAACACGGCGAGCGUUUUCUCCCAAACGGCAAAGUAGUUCCUCAUCAGGUCGAUCAAGUUUCAGCCCUUUACCCCGGGACUAUUACACAAAUAAAGACUCACAUAGUGCUCAGAGGGACACAGAGGGGCAUCAAGAACAGGUGUCUGAGGUGUUCGACCAGAGCAGCAGCUCUUUACAGGACACUGAGACACGCGACGCUAACGCCGAGGAGCGUGCAGCUGCGUUACAAGCCUUUUCUCCAGACUCAGCGUACACUGUGUCCGAACCUCCUCCUGCUCCUGCCAUGCCAACAUACUCCCCUGUCAGCCAUUUACCGCUUCAGUACCAAGGUCUGCCCCCACCCAUACCCCCAGCUCUUCCUCCAGCGCUGUCUUCAUCGCUCCCUCCAGUCCUUCCUCCAGCCCUGCCUGCUCUGUGGCCCCCUCACAUCGGACCCAGGAUUUUCCUGCCUCACGGCCCUCCUAUCUUCCCCUACCCCGGAGUGCGACCUCUGAACAUUUUACCCAACAUGCUCGCUCAGAGGAACCUUCUCCCUCCACACAUGAAUAAUCCACCUUUCAACCUGCCGGGCGUGAACGCCAUCCAACCCCUGAACACUCAACAGAAAUCCAAACAGCUGUCGAGGCCCAGAUGUUUGCAGGUUAUUGAAACCAAGCAGCCCGGAUGAAGUCUGAGCCGCUCGACCUUCUGGGACAUGGUUUUGAACUCUUUCAUUCAGCCUGAUCAGAAGCAAAUGACAAACCUACAGGUGGUGUCACCUAUAGAUGGUGUCCCAUUCCCACCCCGUCAGUAUUCUGGAUUUUGUUUUGUAUCGGUUUGAAACCGCUGUAUGUCCAUUUACAGGCAGUCAAACCUGGACUUGUUGUGACUUUCUGUAGGAGUCCUUCUCAAGAAAAAUGCCGUGGCUACAAAACACUGAGGCUUCUGCUGGUGUAGAUUCUGUUUCUGUUUGCAGAUGUAUAAAUAUAUUAACUGCAUCACAUUAAACAUAGUUAUUUAAAGUAAACAAUGAGGAAGAGUUGUUUCAUUACAUUAAUGUGCAGGAAAAUGUUUCAUCGAAUGAGUUUCAGAGUCCUGGUCAGUUUCUGAGUGACACUUGAAUGGGACAUAAUGAGACUAGCAUGAACGGAGGGGUAAAAGACGACUGAGUGGAACAGCUGUGUGUAAGUUUAAAAAAAACUACAAGUACAACCCCAUAGAAAGGAGAAACAAAAGGUCAUGUUGCUGCAGUGGU